CAAGCGUUGUCCGGAAUUAUUGGGCGUAAAGCGCGCGCAGGCGGAUUGGUCAGUCUGUCUUAAAAGUUCGGGGCUUAACCCCGUGAUGGAAUGGAAACUGCCAAUCUAGAGUAUCGGAGAGGAAAGUGGAAUUCCUAGUGUAGCGGUGAAAUGCGUAGAUAUUAGGAAGAACACCAGUGGCGAAGGCGACUUUCUGGACGAAAACUGACGCUGAGGCGCGAAAGCCAGGGGAGCGAACGGGAUUAGAUACCCCGGUAGUCCUGGCCGUAAACGAUGGGUACUAGGUGUAGGAGGUAUCGACCCCUUCUGUGCCGGAGUUAACGCAAUAAGUACCCCGCCUGGGGAGUACGACCGCAAGGUUGAAACUCAAAGGAAUUGACGGGGGCCCGCACAAGCGGUGGAGUAUGUGGUUUAAUUCGACGCAACGCGAAGAACCUUACCAGGUCU
rnacentral:rRNA from 1 species